rnacentral:sRNA from 2 species
GCUGUCGGAAGGCCGGGAGGAUAUCGUGGCGAAAGUCUGUGAAUCUGGUUCGAAGACGUUGGCGAGUGUGCGGGAGGAUAAAGCGGAGGUAGUUAAGAGUGGUGCGGAGUCGGAGGACAGGGUUGAGGGAGCGAGGUGGCGGACGGGUAGAAGGUGGGCGAGCCAGCGCGUGGGUACGUUUCGAGGAAGUGUUUGGAGUUAAUAAGGAUUAAUUUCGAUGCUUGUAAGUACUUGGUGACGUGCGCUGUUGGAUAUUGGAUAUUGGAUAUUGGAUGUUGGAUGUUGGAUGUUGGAUGUUGGAUGUUGGAUGGUUUGGUUACUAUGUAUUUAUUCAGCGGCGCUGGGGCGCUCUGGCCUUCGCAAAUGACAAGGGAAAUUCUUUAAAGCUG